rfam:Brassica oleracea var. oleracea cultivar TO1000 chromosome C3, whole genome shotgun sequence
GGAAGUUAAAAAACUGUUUCUUAACUUUUAACUAAAAAAGCUAAGAACCGGUUCUUAAAUAAGGACUUUAAGAACCGGUUAUUAGCUUUUUUAGUUAAAAGUUAAGAAACGGUUUCUUAACUUCC